UACGUAGGUGGCAAGCGUUGUCCGGAAUUAUUGGGCGUAAAGCGCGCGCAGGCGGUCCCUUAAGUCUGAUGUGAAAGCCCACGGCUCAACCGUGGAGGGUCAUUGGAAACUGGGGGACUUGAGUACAGAAGAGGAAAGCGGAAUUCCACGUGUAGCGGUGAAAUGCGUAGAGAUGUGGAGGAACACCAGCGGCGAAGGCGCUUUCUGGUCUGUAACUGACGCUGAGACGCGAAAGCGUGGGGAGCGAACAGG
rnacentral:rRNA from 1 species